UACGGAGGGCGCAAGCGUUGUUCGGAAUCAUUGGGCGUAAAGCGCGUGUAGGCGGCCAUUUAAGUCGGAUGUGAAAGCCCGGGGCCCAACCCCGGAACUGCAUUCGAUACUGAUUGGCUGGAGUCCCGGAGAGGAAGGCGGAAUUCCCGGUGUAGAGGUGAAAUUCGUAGAUAUCGGGAGGAACAUCAGUGGCGCAGGCGGCCUUCUGGACGGUGACUGACGCUGAGACGCGAAAGCGUGGGGAGCAAACAGG
rnacentral:rRNA from 1 species